CAGCCGCCGCGGUAAAACGUAGGGCGCAAGCGUUGUCCGGAAUUAUUGGGCGUAAAGAGCUCGUAGGCGGUCUGUCGCGUCUGGUGUGAAAUCCCGAGGCUCAACCUCGGGCUUGCAUCGGGUACGGGCAGACUAGAGUGCGGUAGGGGAGACUGGAAUUCCUGGUGUAGCGGUGGAAUGCGCAGAUAUCAGGAGGAACACCGAUGGCGAAGGCAGGUCUCUGGGCCGCAACUGACGCUGAGGAGCGAAAGCAUGGGGAGCGAACAGGAUUAGAUACCCCGGUAGUCCCUGUCUCUUAUAC
rnacentral:rRNA from 1 species